AGAGUUUGAUCCUGGCUCAGAUUGAACGCUGGCGGCAUGCCUAACACAUGCAAGUCGAACGGAAACGAUGCUAGCUUGCUAGCAGGCGUCGAGUGGCGGACGGGUGAGUAAUGCAUAGGAAUCUACCUAGUAGCGGGGGACAACCUGGUGAAAACCAGGCUAAUACCGCAUAAUCCCUACGGGGCAAAGCAGGGGACCUUCGGGCCUUGCACUAUUAGAUGAGCCUAUGUCGGAUUAGCUAGUUGGUGAGGUAAUGGCUCACCAAGGCAACGAUCCGUAGCUGGUUUGAGAGGAUGAUCAGCCACACUGGGACUGAGACACGGCCCAGACUCCUACGGGAGGCAGCAGUGGGGAAUAUUGGACAAUGGGCGCAAGCCUGAUCCAGCAAUGCCGCGUGUGUGAAGAAGGCCUGCGGGUUGUAAAGCACUUUCAGUAGAGAAGAAAAGCUUACGGUUAAUACCUGUGAGUCUUGACGUAACCUACAGAAGAAGCACCGCUAACU
rnacentral:rRNA from 1 species